CGUGCGCUGAGAAGCGAGUGGACCCAAGGCGGUGGCCCAGGGUGGCUCCUGGCCCUUCCUCGCCCCUGGUCAGACACUGUGACCCGGGUCCUCGGUGCCCAGCGGCGGCGUCUCCGACCCGCGCCCCGCUGAAGGCUCAGGGCAGAUGGAGAACCUGCACCUAUGCGCCCUUGUUGGAGAGGGAAGGAGAUGUUUUCAAUAAGGCUGCUGCCACCAAACAAAAUUCCACCACUGUUCAGCCCUGCUCCUGUCUUCUCUGCUGUUCCACGCUGAGCAGGACCCGCCCUGGGAAUGAGGGCUGGUUAUCGGCUUGCUGCCCACAGCGUGUGGAACACGGAGAUGUCUCAGGGCUGGGAUGGCACUUUCUCACAUCGCUGUGACUCCUACGGUAAAAAAGGAAAAAG
rnacentral:lncRNA from 1 species